GAUGAACGCUAGCGGCAGGCCUAACACAUGCAAGUCGAGGGAGAAGCCCUUUCGGGGGCAGAAACCGGCGCACGGGUGCGUAACGCGUAUGCAACCUACCUUUCAGGGUGAUAGCCCGAAGUAAUUUGGAUUAAUACCCCAUAAUAUUAUUGGAUGGCAUCAUUUGAUAAUUAAAAUUGCGGUGGUGAAAGUUGGGCAUGCGUCCUAUUAGCUAGUUGGAGUGGUAACGGCACCCCAAGGCUACGAUAGGUAGGGGUGCUGAGAGGGAGAUCCCCCACACUGGUACUGAGACAGGGACCAGACUCCUACGGGAGGCAGCAGUGAGGAAUAUUGGUCGAUGGUCGGAAGACUGAACCAGCCAUGCCGCGUGCAGGAAGAAUGCCUUAUGGGUUGUAAACUGCUUUUAUAUGGGAAGAAUAAGGCGUACGUGUACGUUGAUGACGGUACCAUAUGAAUAAGCAUCGGCUAACUCCGUG
rnacentral:rRNA from 1 species